rnacentral:rRNA from 1 species
ACCUGCAGCUAUAUCAAAAUUUCUUGAUAUAGUCUACAGACUAUUCGAAGACAGACCAAUUUUAUAAGUAUUAUUGGUUAAAGUUAUAGCCGGUCUCACCUAUCAGUAGGUAAGGAAAAACGUUGUACACACCGCCCGUCGCUACUACCGAUUGAAUGGCUCAGUGAGGCCUUGAGACUGGCUCAGAGAGGUCGGCAACGACCACUCAGAGCCGGAAACUUGGUCAAACUUGGUCAUUUAGAGG